CUGUGGCUUAGUUGGUUAAAGCGCAGGACUAACAAUACCGAGCCUUAGGUUCGAAUCCCAACAG
rnacentral:tRNA from 1 species